rnacentral:lncRNA from 1 species
UAUAAACGAUUUUGUGGACUUGAUUUUAUUAAAUACUCUAUACUCUUGAAAUUCAUGAGCCAAUUGUAAAACAAACUCUCAUAGAUUGACAAUGCCUCUUUGAAUAAACCAUUUUACAAACAAAUUUUUUGGUUUAAGGAAAAAUCUUGAGACUUUUUAAGUACAAAUGGGAACUUGUUUAAUAAUGCCUUGUGGAGAAAGAAAGAACCAUAUAUUCCAUUUAAAAAUAUUAGUAUAGAGAUUAGAGACUGAUUCGGUAUUUCCGUUAAUGUGAAUCAAAUCUCAAGGUCUCAGUGAAGAUGCAUAGAAGAAUGGAUUCGAUGGAGAAGGGCUUGCUUGUGGUGAGCAAGAAAGAUGGUCUUUUGCGGGAGAUGAAGAGACUUGGUUACAUCGCUGGUCGUCAUAUCCAUCAUGAUGGUUUGGUCAUCUCGGUGAAUCUACCACCAUUAUCAUUUACAGUGGAAUACAAAUAAUUAUUCAUAAAUUAGAAAAUUAUAGCCACAUAGU